CGGGGUGUGGCGCAGUCCGGUUAGCGCGCGUGGUUUGGGACCACGAGGCCGUCGGUUCAAAUCCGACCACCCCGACCA
rnacentral:tRNA from 1 species